AUGAUCCUUCCGCAGGCCCACAUACGGAAUACGAGUGAGGGCCCUCUGGGUCCACCUCCCACCCGUGUUUAUUUUACCUUGUUGCUUCGGCGGGCCCGCCUUAACUGGCCGCCGGGGGCUUACGCCCCCGGGCCCCGCCCCCAAAACCCCCCCAACUCUGUCUGAAGAUAGUAGUCUGAGUGAAAAUAUAAAUUAUUUAAAACUUUCAACAACGGAUCUCUUGGUUCCGGCAUCGAUGAAGAACGCAGCGAAAUGCGAUACGUAAUGUGAAUUGCAAAUUCAGUGAAUCAUCGAGUCUUUGAACGCACAUUGCGCCCCCUGGUAUUCCGGGGGGCAUGCCUGUCCGAGCGUCAUUUCUGCCCUCAAGCACGGCUUGUGUGUUGGGCCCCGUCCUCCGAUCCCGGGGGACGGGCCCGAAAGGCAGCGGCGGCACCGCGUCCGGUCCUCGAGCGUAUGGGGCUUUGUCACCCGCUCUGUAGGCCCGGCCGGCGCUUGCCGAUCAACCCAAAUUUUUAUCCAGGUUGACCUCGGAUCAGGUAGGGAUACCCGCUGAACUUAAGCAUAUCAAUAAGCCGGGGGAA
rnacentral:rRNA from 1 species